GUGCACCAGUCGAGAAACUUCACAAUGUGCGAAAGCACGAUGAGGGAAUCCCAAGUGCUUGCUCGUAAGAGUAAGCUGUUUCUCUGUCUAAAACGCAGAGAGAGUAAGGGCUGGGUAAGACGGGUGCCAGCCGCCGCGGUAAUACCUGCAGCUCGAGUGGUGGCCGCUAUUAUUGGGCCUAAAACGUCCGUAGCCGGUUUAUUAAAUGCCUGGGUAAAUCGGACCGCUUAACGGUUCGAAUUCCGGGUAGACUGAUAAACUUGAGACCGGGAGAAGCUAGAGGUACUCCUGGGGUAGAGGUGAAAAUUCUGUAAUCCUAGGGGGACCACCAGUGGCGAAGGCGUCUAGCUAGAACGGGUCUGACGGUGAGGGACGAAGCCCUGGGGCGCAAACGGGGAUUAGAUA
rnacentral:rRNA from 1 species